rnacentral:tRNA from 2 species
GUUGACGUAGCUUAAGAUUUUAGAGCGUGGCACUGAAGAUGCCAAGAUGGACCCUAAAAAGCCCCGACAACA